GAUGAAGAACGUAGCGAAAUGCGAUAAGUAAUGUGAAUUGCAGAAUUCAGUGAAUCAUCGAAUCUUUGAACGCACAUUGCGCCCGCCAGUAUUCUGGCGGGCAUGCCUGUUCGAGCGUCAUUACAACCCUCAGGCCCCCGGGCCUGGCGUUGGGGAUCGGCGGAAGCCCCCUGCGGGCACAACGCCGUCCCCCAAAUACAGUGGCGGUCCCGCCGCAGCUUCCAUUGCGUAGUAGCUAACACCUCGCAACUGGAGAGCGGCGCGGCCACGCCGUAAAACACCCUACUUCUCAAGGUUGACCUCGGAUCAGGUAGGAAUACCCGCUGAACUUAAGCAUAUCAAUAAGCGGAGGA
rnacentral:misc_RNA from 1 species